CAGAACAGCAACCAAUCGCUGGCAGAGGAACCUAAACUCCAAUAACGGCAAGAAAUUCGUGACAUUAUUGGGCAGAACAGGAGAAAAGAGGAGAGUGAGAGAAGGCGAAUCCGAGCGAGACGGGGGCUCCCGAAAGGGAACUGCGCAGGAGAAAGGGAUCCCGCACCCUGGAAAGUCACCUACCGGGCGAAAGAUCAAACGAACCGGAGGAAUCUCCAGAUGCAGAGAAGAGUGUAGCAGUAAGUUGGAGUACGGAAAAGCCGAUCAAGAACCCAACGGACCAUCUGAACUACGGGCAGAGUCACCAAAAAUUGAGACGCCUGGGUGGGGGCUGGGCCCCGAGACCUCGCCUCUGAAGGUUAGUCCCCGAGAGGGGGCCGGGGGACGCCUGGGGGGGCUGGGCACCGAGACCUCGAGACCUCGCCGCAGAAGGUUAGUCCCCAAGAAAGGGCCGGGGGGCGCCGCCUGGGUGGGGGCUGGGCACCGAGACCUCGCUUCCGAAGGUUAGUCCCCGAGAAAGGGCCGGGGGACGCCUGGGUGGGGGCUGGGCACCGAGACCUCGCCUCCGAAGGUUAGUCCCCGAGAGAGGGCCGGGGGACGCCUGGGUGGGGGCUGGGCACCGAGACCUCGGCUCCAGAGAUUAGUCCCCGGGCUAGGGGGGCGGGGCAGAGCGGAAACUGCUUGGGAGGUCUAGAAACCAGUUGACGGGGCAGAGACUGCCUGGGAGACUAGAAAACAAAGCUGUCGCAGAGGAAGGGAGCAAUACUCCAGGAGUGGGGAAGGGGAAAGCCACAUCAGAGGGAACCUGGGAGAAGAGCCUGGUCUGCGCCCGUGCUGGGGAGGGGAGAGAAGAAGGGGUGGGUCCCCAUAGAAUACCCCCCACGCCACAGCAAGCUUACAGGCCCGCUAGCUAGCUGAAAACUCUGCUUCCCAGUGCAUCCCCUCCCCCCACCCCCACCACGCCCUACGCUCUCACGGACCUGGGGCUGCCUGCCAUCCAGGAGGGCUGGCCUCAACAAUUGCCUGAAGCCUACCACCGCAGGGGCUGUCCCUGCACAGGCCUGCUUGCCCUUUGGAGGGGCUACACUUCCGCAGAGCAGCACCAAACACCACCAGCCCCCGAGAAAAGGCCUGCAGCCCAGAAAAGCUAGAACAAGCCUAGCCAGGCCGUGAAUAGAUCGGCCUAAUUCUCCGACGGUUUUUCUGAGUCGGGCUGCCCCGGGGAGGAGCCUCUUGGGUCUCCAACGGCCCUGCUACCCGCCCAAGCCCCCAGGGGGUGCCCCACUCCCGUGAAAUAACUGCUCAGCACCACCAGCCCCCUGGAAGAGCCCCUGCAGCCCAGAAAAGCUGCAACAAGCUCGGCCAGACUGUGAAAAGAUCCGCCUACAUUCUCAGGCUGUCCUUCUGAGUUGGGCUGCCCUAGGGAAGAGCCUCUUAGGUUCUCAGUGACCCAGAUAGCUGCUCCAGCCCCCAGGGGGUGAUGCACCCCUGAAGAGCAGCUGCCCAACACCGCCAACCCCCUGCAAGAACCCCACAGCCUAAAAACACCAGAGCAAGCUCUGCAUGACCAAGUGAAAUCUGCUACCAUCGUGGUGUGGACCUCCCAGUCCUGUCUGCCCUCAGGAAGUCCUCCUUUGCUUCAAAGAAACACUGUUAGCCCCAUCAACACUCCAGAAAAGCCACACUGCCUCAAAAAAGAUUGACCAACAACGCCAGCCCUCAGGAAAUAUUCCACGGCAGUGACAAGGCAAACACUGCCCGAUAACGGAGAGUACAACUCCCUCAGGAGAAAGAAAACAACAAGCAAGAUGAAGAAGCUGAGAAACCACCCCCAGUCAAACCAACAGGAGAACUCACCUAAAACAGUCAACAAUGAAACAGAUCUCUGCAGUCAGACAGACCUGGAGUUCAAAAGAGAAAUAGUGAAAAUACUGAAGGAAUUAAGAGAAGAUAUGAACAGUAAUGCAGAUACCCUCAGAAAGGAACUAGAAAAUAUAAGGAGGAGCCAAGAAAAACUAGAACAUUCAUUUGCAGAGAUGCAAACUGAACUAGGGGCAGUAAAAACCAGAAUGAAUAAUGCAG
rnacentral:lncRNA from 1 species